rnacentral:rRNA from 1 species
GGUGAACGCUGGCGGCGUGCCUAAUACAUGCAAGUCGAGCGAACGGACGAGAAGCUUGCUUCUCUGAUGUUAGCGGCGGACGGGUGAGUAACACGUGGAUAACCUACCUAUAAGACUGGGAUAACUUCGGGAAACCGGAGCUAAUACCGGAUAAUAUUUUGAACCGCAUGGUUCAAAAGUGAAAGACGGUCUUGCUGUCACUUAUAGAUGGAUCCGCGCUGCAUUAGCUAGUUGGUAAGGUAACGGCUUACCAAGGCAACGAUGCAUAGCCGACCUGAGAGGGUGAUCGGCCACACUGGAACUGAGACACGGUCCAGACUCCUACGGGAGGCAGCAGUAGGGAAUCUUCCGCAAUGGGCGAAAGCCUGACGGAGCAACGCCGCGUGAGUGAUGAAGGUCUUCGGAUCGUAAAACUCUGUUAUUAGGGAAGAACAUAUGUGUAAGUAACUGUGCACAUCUUGACGGUACCUAAUCAGAAAGCCACGGCUAACUACGUGCCAGCAGCCGCGGUAAUACGUAGGUGGCAAGCGUUAUCCGGAAUUAUUGGGCGUAAAGCGCGCGUAGGCGGUUUUUUAGUCUGAUGUGAAAGCCCACGGCUCCACCGUGGAGGGUCAUUGGAAACUGGAAAACUUGAGUGCAGAAGAGGAAAGUGGAAUUCCAUGUGUAGCGGUGAAAUGCGCAGAGAUAUGGAGGAACACCAGUGGCGAAGGCGACUUUCUGGUCUGUAACUGACGCUGAUGUGCGAAAGCGUGGGGAUCAAACAGGAUUAGAUACCCUGGUAGUCCACGCCGUAAACGAUGAGUGCUAAGUGUUAGGGGGUUUCCGCCCCUUAGUGCUGCAGCUAACGCAUUAAGCACUCCGCCUGGGGAGUACGACCGCAAGGUUGAAACUCAAAGGAAUUGACGGGGACCCGCACAAGCGGUGGAGCAUGUGGUUUAAUUCGAAGCAACGCGAAGAACCUUACCAAAUCUUGACAUCCUUUGACAACUCUAGAGAUAGAGCCUUCCCCUUCGGGGGACAAAGUGACAGGUGGUGCAUGGUUGUCGUCAGCUCGUGUCGUGAGAUGUUGGGUUAAGUCCCGCAACGAGCGCAACCCUUAAGCUUAGUUGCCAUCAUUAAGUUGGGCACUCUAAGUUGACUGCCGGUGACAAACCGGAGGAAGGUGGGGAUGACGUCAAAUCAUCAUGCCCCUUAUGAUUUGGGCUACACACGUGCUACAAUGGACAAUACAAAGGGCAGCGAAACCGCGAGGUCAAGCAAAUCCCAUAAAGUUGUUCUCAGUUCGGAUUGUAGUCUGCAACUCGACUACAUGAAGCUGGAAUCGCUAGUAAUCGUAGAUCAGCAUGCUACGGUGAAUACGUUCCCGGGUCU